rnacentral:rRNA from 1 species
AACGCUGGCGGCGUGCUUAACACAUGCAAGUGGAGCGACGAACCAGGGCUUGCCCUGGGGCAGAGCCGCGAACGGGUGAGUAACACGUGGGUAACCUACCCCGAUGACCGGGACAACCCGAGGAAACUCGGGCUAAUACCGGAUGUUCUCGUUUCUCGUAAGGGAACCGAGUAAAGAUAGCUUUGGCCUUCGCAUCGGGACGGGCCCGCGGCCCAUUAGCUUGUUGGUGAGGUAACGGCUUACCAAGGCGACGAUGGGUAGCUGGUCUGAGAGGACGAUCAGCCACACUGGGACUGAGACACGGCCCAGACUCCUACGGGAGGCAGCAGUGGGGAAUCUUGCGCAAUGGGCGAAAGCCUGACGCAGCAACGCCGCGUGGGGGAAGAAGGCCUUCGGGUUGUAAACCCCUUUCAGUUGGGACGAAGCUUCCAGAGUUAAUAGCUUUGUGGAGUGACGGUACCUUCAGAAGAAGCCCCGGCUAACUACGUGCCAGCAGCCGCGGUAAUACGUAGGGGGCUAGCGUUGUCCGGAAUCAUUGGGCGUAAAGCGCGUGUAGGCGGUCCGGUAAGUCCGCUGUGAAAGUCGGGGGCUCAACCCUCGGAUGCCGGUGGAUACUGUCGGGCUUGAGUACGGAAGAGGCGAGUGGAAUUCCUGGUGUAGCGGUGAAAUGCGCAGAUAUCAGGAGGAACACCAAUUGCGAAGGCAGCUCGCUGGGACGUUACUGACGCUGAGACGCGAAAGCGUGGGGAGCAAACAGGAUUAGAUACCCUGGUAGUCCACGCUGUAAACGAUGGGCACUAGGUGUGGGGGGUGUCGACUCCCUCCGUGCCGAAGCUAACGCAUUAAGUGCCCCGCCUGGGGAGUACGGCCG